rnacentral:piRNA from 1 species
GAGACAUUGACGACAGUGGUGAUACGAUU